GGACUGUUAUUUUUAUAUGAAGUUAAUUAUGGCCGCAGGCUUCGGUUCACACUGACCAUCACGGACAAUCACCAGAUUACAGUACGAAACUUCUCAGACAUUCCCCGGCCGGACCAUACGGGACUGAAUGUGUUCAGUCGGGAAAAACAAGCACAUACUAACAGCAACAGACGUUUCUUUGGGUUUUUUCGGAUCAGUGCGUUUCCCUCUCGGCGUCUGUUGCCGUUGGUCAGCGUCUGUCGUUGAGUCAUUUUCACACACGAGGACGUCCCCGAGUGGCUUCAGAGUGGCCUUUUGUCUGAUUUAGCUCACUUCUGGGGACAGUUUUGUCCCUAACUAAACACACACACUUAACGGACAUCUCACACGCUGCCAGAGCCGCUCAAUCCGACGUCUGGCCCGUGUUUGUGGUCUCCAGGAUUCCCUGCGGCCGUGAGAGGGUUUCUGCAGGAACACGAGCGAGGAAGACGGCUGGACGACUCGCUCUCGGUCAGGGUCACACUCGGCUCAUGUCUCAGAUUAAACUGAAAAACAGACAUGACAUUAAGAUCAUCUGUGCUUCUGUCCCUUAUAUUGAGUGUCACACCUGCUCUGAUGAUCCGUGAGAUUACUGACAGUCUGAAGGUGAUUUUUCUGCUGUAUGUCUGUCGACUGACACUAACACUUCAACACAGACACUGAAGCUCCACAGACGUCAGGGUCCGUUCCACUCAUCUGAGGGUCAAAGGUCACUGCACCUCUCUGGAUGUCAUGGGUGGAGCUUUAUGGUCCGGUCACAUCCUAACCUGACCCCUGUAUGUAGCUGAAGCUCCACCCAUCGACUGCAUGUCGAACCGCACUGAGAUUCUGACUCCACCUGCUGGUGACACGAGGAACUUCACCACCUCGCUGAUCUGAAAUCACGUGCUGUAACGUUUACACUAUCAACAAGCGAACAACAUGCUAUAAUAUCGUUUGUAUAUUAUGUUGAUAUUAACAUACUAUUUAUUCAAAUUCUUUCACUAAAAGCCUCAUGUGUUUCAGUGUUGAGAGUGAAUGAGUUUCUGCUGUAAAAUCCUCUGACUCUCUCAGUUUGAUCUGGAUUGAGUUUCUCCAUGAUGCAUGAACUGAAUUCCUCACAGCCUGUGUUAUAACGACAAUGAAAUCACGAUCAAAGAGUCAGAAUAACUCUAAUAGAGCACACAGCGGUUUCACAUCUGUCCUGAAGCAGACAGCAGCAGCGCGGAUCGUGUAGUUUCUCAGGAUGGUUGUUACCUGUGCGCAUGCGCGUCAUGAUACACCUGAUUUGGGGUGGAGUAAUGAUGACGAUGACGAUGAAGGAGGAGGAAGAGGAGAGCGGAGGAAACACAAGCCGGUGUCUGGGAGGGUCACAACUUCACGUUAAAGCGUCUUAUGAGAUGAAAUGCAGUGUUGAAGGAGCUGCUCAUCCGUGACUGUGUCGCUUUUCUCUCGCGCUGGUUUCGGUUCGCGUUCGCUGGAGUUUCAUCGGAUCAUCAUGAGGAGGAUGAUCGUGUCGGUGCUGCUUCUGAGUGUCCUGAUCUCAGGGAUUCUGUCGAUCCAGGUCACUCUCACUGAGACAGAGAGACGCACGACUCUCUUUGCGUCGGUCGUCUUGCGCUGUGAUUAUUCCACCUCCGCACAGCUUCAGAAUGUGAUGGUCACGUGGAAGUUCAAGUCCUUCUGCAAAGAUCCAGUUCUGGACUAUUACUCCACAGCGUAUCAGUCCGCCCUUCAGCUGGGUCAGGAUCCUGCCAAUGACUGCGUGGACUCGCAGCGCACCGUCCGAACCGUGGCUCAGAAACUGGGAUCCAACGAGGCGGUGCUGGGCUCCGAGUACAGAGACCGCAAAGUCUACAUUCAGAACAAGGCGGAUCUGGUCAUCAAUGAGGUGAUGUGGUGGGACAACGGGAUGUAUUUCUGUGCCGUGGAAGCGCCUGGAGACACAGUCGGAGACUCAGACAAAGAGAUGAAGCUGAUCGUGUACCACUGGCUGACGGUGCUGCUGAUCGUGUUGGGCGCGCUGAUGCUCAUCAUCCUGCUGUGCGUGUGCUGCUGUCAGUGCUGUCCGCAGAAGUGCUGCUGUUACGUGCGCUGCCCCUGCUGUCCUCAGACCUGCUGCUGCCCCGAGAAGGCGGUCAUGCAGCACCGGAUGAUGAAGGAGGCGCAGAAGGCCAUGACGCCGUGGAUGAACGGACAGCCGCUCUACGCACCCAUGAGCAACCACAGCUCCUCCUACCAGAUGAACCCCAUGCUGUACGCAGGUUCAGCAUCAGGGAAGGGUCACAUGACGCCGGUUCCGCUGCCGCCUCCACACAUGUCCGUUAACAUGCCGCCUCCCAGCAUCCACGGCAACGGCAGCGUUCACGGGACCAACCAGGUGCUGGACUAUCUGGAGGGUCAGGUGCGCGGCAUGGAUGUGAACGCCCCGCUCUUACAGCCGCAGCACAUGUCGUCCCCUCCGCUGCACAUGCCGCCCCCCCCGCAGCACAUGCCGCAGCACGUCCCCUUCUCCGCCGGCCCUCCCAGCAUGCUCUCCGGCCUGGACGACGGCCCCGCCUCACGCAGGUUCCCGUCCGGGUCACGAGGGGCAGGGCGCUCCAGCGGCUCGUCCGCCUACGGCGCCUCGCACCGCUACCCUCGGCCGGUCAUUCCGCGCAGCUACAGCCAGGAGGACGUCCUGGACGGCCGGAGCCGGUCCGGAGGAUUCCGUCCUCGCUCGCGAUCCAGGGACGAUCUGCUGGCCUUCGAUCCCCGAGGCCCGUCCAGGCGGGACGAUUAUUCUCCUAUGCCCCGCCGCGGCUCGUGGAGCUCGGCCAACGAGGAGGACAGCAGACGCGGAGGCGCCCGAGGAGCUCGGGGAGGCGGAUUUUCCGAUCAUCCGCCCACUUACAGCGAGUACGAGCCCGGGAAGAAGCCAGUCAAGCGGCCGGAACGCUUCUCUGUAAGAGUCUGAGCGGCUCACGCGUUCACUAACACUGUCAGUCUCUCUCUCAAACUAACACGUCUGGUGUUCUGGUGCCGUGAGUAGAUCCAAACGUCUGCAGCCACAUUGGAAAUGUAAAUGAAUGAUAAGAGUUCUCGCAGCGGCACCAGCAUCAUCAUCUGAGGACCAGCGUCUGGAAGCUUCUGUUCAUGAACACAACUGCUUUUACAGAACAUAUUUGAAGGAUGUGAUUCUCUGAACAGAUUGAGGAUUUCUUUGUUUUAUAUUUUUGUGCAGAUCAGUUUAUACACUUGAAUGUGAAUAUGAAUGAAUAUCCUCUUCUAGUACAUGUGUGACAUUAGCUGUGGCUUUCUUGGGUUUGAGGAUUUAUCUGUGUAAAUAUCACGUCUUUUGUGUCAUUUUUUUUUUUUUUUUUUUUUAGCGACCACAGCAUAAAAUGCAAUAUAACGAAGAAUUGGGUUGAGAUUCUGAAAUGCUAAUUAUCAUGUCCAUAAUAAGUUAUUCAGUGUGAUUAGUGAUGAUAGUUUUGAACUCGCUUCAGUGUUUGGCUUCAUAAACACAAAGAGUAACUAAUACAGAAGUGUGUAUUUAUGUUUUAUUGAUCGUGCUCAGGUCAAGCUGUUCUUUAGCCUUUUUGUAAAUAACAUCUUCAUGGAACUUGUUACUGCAUCCAAAGUCCUAAACCAGAAUAUUUUUUCAGUCUUGCCUUUAUAUCAUUUUUAUCUGAAUUACUGAACAGACUCUGUAAUGAUUGUACAUGUUCUAUUUUUCGUAUAUGAAGGACUGUUAAUAUUUUGUCUUUAUAUCAUGCAUCUUAUGUGGACAGAAUUCUUCCUUUUCUACAUGCAUAAAUAAAUCUGCGAAAGCAGCAUAUGCUGACAA